rnacentral:rRNA from 1 species
UACGGGGGGGGCAAGCGUUGUUCGGAAUUACUGGGCGUAAAGGGCUCGUAGGCGGCCAACUAAGUCGGAUGUGAAAUCCCCAGGCUCAACCUGGGAACUGCAUCCGAUACUGGAUGGCUUGAAUUCGGGAGAGGGAUGCAGAAUUCCAGGUGUAGCGGUGAAAUGCGUAGAUAUCUGGAGGAACACCGGUGGCGAAGGCGGCAUCCUGGACCACGACUGACGCUGAGGAGCGAAAGCCAGGGGAGCAAACGGG